AUACGUAGGUGGCAAGCGUUGUCCGGAUUUAUUGGGCGUAAAGCGAGCGCAGGCGGUUCUUUAAGUCUGAUGUGAAAGCCCCCGGCUCAACCGGGGAGGGGCAUUGGAAACUGGAGAACUUGAGUGCAGAAGAGGAGAGUGGAAUUCCAUGUGUAGCGGUGAAAUGCGUAGAUAUAUGGAGGAACACCAGUGGCGAAGGCGGCUCUCUGGUCUGUAACUGACGCUGAGGCUCGAAAGCGUGGGGAGCAAACAGGAUUAGAUACCCUGGUAGUCCACGCCGUAAACGAUGAGUGCUAAGUGUUGGAGGGUUUCCGCCCUUCAGUGCUGCAGCUAACGCAUUAAGCACUCCGCCUGGGGAGUACGGCCGCAAGGCUGAAACUCAAAUGAAUUGACGGGG
rnacentral:rRNA from 1 species